rnacentral:misc_RNA from 1 species
GCAUUUAUUUAGAAAUUAUAAUAGUUUAUACUAUAUUUCCAAUCAUGCCAUAUAAGUGCUGUGUUGAUGGAUGCCGUAGCAAGGACGGGGUUGUUGGUUCAACUACGAAAUUAUUUAGAUGACGUGGUUACAACAACGACUUUUCUCACUGCACAAUCCGUACGAUUGGAUAAAGCCAUUGAAAUGAUCGGUUUCGGAAAAUUUCAUUAUUAUAUGUUAUUUAUUUGUGGAACAGUUUACAUAGCCGUCAGUAUAAGUUUGACUUCGGUAUCAUUCAUUGUACCGUCAGCACAAUGCGAUUUUCAAAUGACUUCUUUUCGGAAAGGAUUCCUCAACGGAGCUUCGAUGAUCGGAAUGUGCAUUGGAAGUUUCAUUUGGGGCUACAUAUCGGACUCCUACGGUAGAAGAAAGGCAUUGAUAUUCUGCAUGCUGAUGGAUGGUUUAUUCAAUCUCGUAUCUAGUGUAUCCCAGAUUUAUUCAGUUUUUAUAUUUUGCAGAAUGAUGAGUGGAUUCGGAGUGUCUGGUUGUACAAUAACUUAUGCGUACCUUGGAGAAUUUUUAAACGCCAAAUAUCGCGAAAAGUUUUUAUGUUGGAUGGAGAUUUUCUGGACGAUUGGCGUAAUACUACUUCCGUGUAUAGCGUGGAUAAUUAUACCGCAAACAUUUCGAAUCGAAAGUGGAUUCUUUUUGUUCAGGUCGUGGAAUUUAUUUGUAAUUAUUUGUUCUCUUCCGAGUAUAAUAACGACGUGCUUAUUGAUGUUAUUACCAGAAAGUCCAAAAUACCUACUCGUUAAGGGCAAACACGAAGAAACCCUUGAUUGCUUGAGAUUCGUCCAUAGGUGGAAUAAUAAAAAGACCGACCAGAGUUUCCCUGUGAUUUCGUUGACGUUGCCGGAUCGCAUUAGCGAAACGAGCAAAGGUUUCUUUAGCGGGAUGGGCAAGAGCCUUUUCGAAUUGAUCACGUCGAAGUACAAAACCGUGCUCGCGAUUACAUGUAUCAUGCAGUUCUGCGUGACCGCCAGAGUUGAUGAACAGGUUGCGAUGGUACGAGACAACGUACCCGAGUGCCCAGAACAAGACGACCAUGUGCGAAGUGUUGUCCAUGUACAAAGUCGAACCGAACGCGUUGGCCGACGUCAGGUGCAACGACGACAUCGACGGGUCCGUGUACUUGAACAUCCUGAUCGUGGGCGUCGCUUGCCUGCCUCUUUGUUUCAUCGUGCCGCUGUACGUCAACAAACUCGGGCUCAGGUUUUUCUUGGCAACGUGUCUGUUUGGGUCCGGCUUGACUGCUGUUUGCUUGUACUACAUCUCGUCGUCGAUGGAAAUCCUCGCGUUCGCUUCCGUGUUUGAAGCUCUUAGCAGCACAGGUUUCGGACUGAUAUUUUGCGUCGCCGUGGAACUAUUUCCCGUAGAAUACACGGGCUUGGCUGUAGCGAUAGGCUCCACGUUCGGUAAAAUCGGUUCAAUUGUGGGCAACGUCGUCGUCGGAAUUUUCAUCGACGCGUAUUGUAU